rnacentral:rRNA from 1 species
GACGAACGCUGGCGGCGUGCUUAACACAUGCAAGUCGAACGGAAAGGCCCUGCUUUUGUGGGGUGCUCGAGUGGCGAACGGGUGAGUAACACGUGAGUAACCUGCCCUUGACUUUGGGAUAACUUCAGGAAACUGGGGCUAAUACCGGAUAGGAGCUCCUGCUGCAUGGUGGGGGUUGGAAAGUUUCGGCGGUUGGGGAUGGACUCGCGGCUUAUCAGCUUGUUGGUGGGGUAGUGGCUUACCAAGGCUUUGACGGGUAGCCGGCCUGAGAGGGUGACCGGCCACAUUGGGACUGAGAUACGGCCCAGACUCCUACGGGGGGCAGCAGUAGGGAAUAUUGCACAAUGGGCGGAAGCCUGAUGCAGCAACGCCGCGUGCGGGAUGACGGCCUUCGGGUUGUAAACCGCUUUCGCCUGUGACGAAGCGUGAGUGACGGUAAUGGGUAAAGAAGCACCGGCUAACUACGUG